rnacentral:rRNA from 1 species
UAGGGAAUCUUCCACAAUGGACGCAAGUCUGAUGGAGCAACGCCGCGUGAGUGAAGAAGGUUUUCGGAUCGUAAAGCUCUGUUGUUGGUGAAGAAGGAUAGAGGUAGUAACUGGCCUUUAUUUGACGGUAAUCAACCAGAAAGUCACGGCUAACUACGUGCCAGCAGCCGCGGUAAUACGUCGGUGGCAAGCGUUGUCCGGAUUUAUUGGGCGUAAAGCGAGCGCAGGCGGAAGAAUAAGUCUGAUGUGAAAGCCCUCGGCUUAACCGGGGAACUGCAUCGGAGACGGUUUGUCUUGAGUGCAGAAGAGGAGAGUGGAAUUCCAUGUGUAGCGGUGGGAUGCGUAGAUAUAUGGAAGAACACCAGUGGGGAAGGCGACUCUCUGGUCUGCAACUGACGCUGAGGAUAGAAAGAAUGGGUGGCGAACAGG